ensembl:lincRNA 4933438A12Rik RIKEN cDNA 4933438A12 gene
GGAGGGAGAAAAGCCAACCAGUUACACGUGAGAUCUCAGACAGAGCUGUCAUAGGCUGUUUCUACAGAUAUACUUCCAAGGACCUCUCGGGCAAUUUUGGCUGAAUAUCUUUAACCCAUCCCUGUCUUGCUCAGCCAUCAUCAGAGAAGCUUCCUCCAGCAGCAGAUGGGAAUAAAUACAGAGACUCACAGUCAGACAAUAUGCAGAGAGUGAGAGACCUUGGAACACUCAGCCAUAAAAGGGAUGUCUCCAUCAAGUCCUGCUCCUCUGAGCUCAGGGAACUCUGUGGAAGAAGCAGCAGAAAGAGUGUAAGAGGCAGAGGGGAUGGCGGACACCGAAGUAUCAAGACCUAGAGAUACCAUGGCUGGCACACAUAUGAGCUCACAGAGACUGACCAGCAUGCACAGGGCUUCCAUUAGUAUGCAUUAGGUUACACCCCAUAGCCAGAAGGAGAAGACAUAUGCCCCUGUCCUUAACCAAGAAGCUAUCUCCAAUCGAUAGCCACUCCCAAAUGAAAAGUUAAUUUUCUCCAAGAGAGUCUCACUGUAGUUACAAACUACUUUUAAGGGUCAGACCCCAUGUCCAGUAGCAGAUGGCCAACACAAAAUAAAUUCAGUGGCAUCUUUGGAGGGUUUUCUUGUCUCAUAAUGUUAAGCUCAGACAUUAUUUUUUUCUACCAUUUAAGUCCUUUGUGUAUACGUUAUGGUUUCUGGCUUUUACAGGAUUCUUGUGUAUGCAAAUGUGUGUGUCACUGCUCCUACAUGUAUUUUUUGCACUUUUCAUUUGGCUCUUUUUCUUGUCUGUUUUUUUCAUAUUCUUAUAUUUUUUUUUACUUGUUUCUUUUUCUUUUAACUUAUUCUUUAGAUGCCUGUUUUAUUUUUUCCUAAGAGAGACAGAAAGGGUGUGUGUCUGGCUGGGAGUCGGGGUGAGGAGAAACUUGAAGGAUUAGGGGAAGGAUACAAUAGUCAGAUUACAGUGUAUAAUGUGUUAUAUUUUCAAUAAAAUAACAAAAU